rnacentral:misc_RNA from 1 species
GAUGAAGAACGUAGUGAAAUGCGAUAAGUAAUGUGAAUUGCAGAAUUCAGUGAAUCAUCGAAUCUUUGAACGCACAUUGCGCCCAUUAGUAUUCUAGUGGGCAUGCCUGUUCGAGCGUCAUUUCAACCCUUAAGCCCCUGUUGCUUAGCGUUGGGAGCCUACAGCCUGCUGUAGUUCCUCAAAGUUAGUGGCGGAGUCAGUUCACACUCUAGACGUAGUAAAAUCUUUAUCUCGCCUAUAGAUGAGCUGGCGCCUUGCCGUAAAAAACCCCUAAUCUUUUACAAGGUUGACCUCGGAUCAGGUAGGAAUACCCGCUGAACUUAAGCAUAUCAAUAAGCGGAGGA